AUGGACCGGGCCACUGUACAGGAGCUGAGGCUGUGUCUUCAGAACGAACAACAAGAGCUUCUUCACAAAGUGGCAGCCGAUCCGGAGGAGCUGGAUGUGUUGCGGGUCCAGGCUGCUAUGGACCGGGCCACUGUACAGGAGCUGAGGCUGUGUCUUCAGAACGAACAACAAGAGCUUCUUCACAAAGUGGCAGCCGAUCCGGAGGUCAAGAACAGCACUCCCAAAAAGCCCUCUGCCGAGAGAGUGGAGCAGUCGCUGAAGAAGGUACAGUAAAGUGCUCUUUGUCACCGCCAAAUAAAAGAAACCCGGCAAGACAAAAGUCUUCCUCACCACAAUACCCACUUAAGUUAUUUCUGUAACACUGAAGUGGGGAGAAAAAUACUGUCUCGGCUCUUGGAAGUUUUAUGUGGAUGUUUUGUCGUUGAGCAGGCAUUUUUCUGGCCAAAAUAACAAUUAGAAAAACAUAUUUGAAAAGUCUUCAAUGUCUGCUAUUGGUUGCAAAGGCUUUCCUCUGAGAACUACAAAACAACCACAAAUAAUGUUUUUUAAAUGACUUCUUCCCAGACCCCAUCACUCACUGUGAGUGUGAUAAUCCUCCACAAUGACGUUGGUGAAGUGCCGUUCGGGGGAUGUUAAGAGGGGAUGUAAAAGCGUGCUCAUACGCCCAUAACAGUCAUGCAGUGGUAUGUUGAAGAGGAUUGAGAGGGACACAGGGAACUAUUUUAACGGGGAAUUAAAUUGUUCCGGAAUCAUUUCUAGCAGAUGAUGCCAAGGCGCCUAGCGCCAACAAAUGCCAUAUGGCGGGCGGUUUAAUGGAGACUGUCAUGGCUUCUAUUACAGAGUGACAGUACCAUGUUAGUAUAACAACCAACAGGGGUCGGGAGAGGGAGGAGGGGAGGAGAGGAGCAGCACUCAUUUAUGCUAUCCAGACAUGGUGGGUAAUGGAAAGACAUUUUGGGGAGGCCCGGUGAGGAGCAUGCACUGUAUGUGUGUGUGCGUGAAAUUUUAUGUCGCCCCGACUCACUGUAAAUCGAUGAUCAGGCGGGCCGGAAAGCCGCUCUAAUUUUGUUUGAAUGGUACCGUGCUGCUUAAGCUUAGGGCAGAGCCGUGCCCAAUAAAAGAGAGAGAUUGCCUGGGGGUAUAGCUACACCCAGCAGGUAUCCACUGUUCUGUUUCACCGUUCCAACCAAAGAGACAAAGGGGUGGUCCUGUUUUCAGUGUUUAGUGAUAGGUGACUGGUCUGGGGGCUAGCAGUCAGAUGUCUGUAGCCUCUCUAGGAGGGGGGGGGCUAGCAGUCAGAUGUCUGUAGCCUCUCUAGGAGGUGGGGGCUCAGUCAGAAUGGGAGUGUUUCAGUAAUUUAGCAGAUGCUCUUAUCCACAGUUUAUGGGAGCAAUUAGAGUUCAGUGCCUUGGGCAAGGGCACAUCGACAGAUUUUUCAGCUGGUCGGCUCGGGGAUUCGACCCAGCGACCUUUUGGUUACUGGCCCAAAGCUCUUAACCACUAGGCUACCUGCCGCCGUGUUAAUGGCCUAAUGGUUUGUUUCAACCCUCUACUACCCUGGCCUGCACAGUUACUGCAAACACAGGUCAGAGUAGAGAGAAACACUGACACUACUCUGUUUUCGCAGUUCAAAGUUGACAGGAUUUUUCUUGUUUGUAGCUUUGUUUUAAGACAUUUACAGUGAAUAGAAGGUCCAUUAACUCUACAUGGCAGAGUACAUAGAGAGGUUAGUGGCCCUGGAGACCCAGCUGGAGGGGGCCAGGAGGGAAGCCGGACGCACCCGGCAGCAGCUGCUCCGGCUCAGGCAGGAGCUGGGCAUCCUGAGGGCGGCCCGGGACUUCAACAAGAGCC
rnacentral:lncRNA from 8 species